AUGUGUACAAAUGUCCACUCACGGAGUCCCUCGGUUUUGUUAUUUAAUGCUUGAUUGGGGUUCGCACGAAGUGGCCUGUUUGCCGAUAAUUAUGAGUGACUAUUAUCUAUUAAACUUCUUCACUACAUUUGGUCUCAUCACUUGGGACUGUUGAAGAUGAUGAAACCCAGAAGAGCGGCGCGCGAUAACACCCGGAAGCAAAAUUGCACUUGCAUGGAGAUUAUCAAACAAAACCAGGGAUUACAUUAUAGCGGGAAGUUUAAGAAAUUACAUGUAAUAUUGACCAAAGAAAAAUCGCCUGAGUCCAUUGCUAAUCAGUAUUAACUGCGUUAGAUGGAAACAAAAUUAGCUGAAAUAAAAACUAUCACAAACAUCAAAGCCCGAGUUCAGCAAACAUGCAGAUCGUAUUACAUUCAAAUCUGUUCCGUUUUAAAUGUGACGAUAACAGUAUUUCGAGUUGUAACUUCACUUGCUUCGGUAAAAUAACACGCCGGAUUAAACACGGGGUGCUUUUAACGCGCCCUUCGCAGUUUGUUUCGGUCGGUCCCUGAGAUCACAAGAACCUCGCUCGCUAAAACGGUCUCUACGCCGCUGUACAUGUAAUUUGAGAUGUGACAGAUUCUGAAUGGCUUCUACUGCUUCGCUGAAUCACCACAGAUUCCCCACCUCAGUGUUUGGGCUGUGAAGCGCCGGUGCGUUUUGUUUUUGUCGCCGUUCCCUUCACAAAUUCCCUCCGUGUUUCGGUCACAUCGGUGCCAGGAGUUUAACUCACCCAGAGUACAGGAAAGAGCUGACGGCGGAGCCUCAGGAUCUCCCAAUCUGAAGUCGCAUGUGUUGUCCAGUGACAAAGCUACACAAGAGGCUGCAGAAUUGGUAAAUGUUUGCUGCUCAGGGUAGAAAGGGGAUCGAGUGUGUUCUGAUCCGUUCCGACGUCGGCGUUCCGAUCAUCCUGGUGAGAGGGCCUAUACAUUGGAUUGUCCGUAGCGGUGACUGCAGAGGGUUCAAAGGCCCCGACCAUGGGUGAACAAAGAGGAAGGUGACUGAACUUUAUUGCCCAUCCUCACAGUGGGAACGUUGAUUCUGCUGUGUGGAGAUGUUUAUGUUAAACUCUAUCGUGUAUUGUGUUCUUUUUAUUUGUAUGGCUGUAUGGUAACACAAAUAUCACUGUACCAAUUGGUGCAGGUGACAAUAAAUGUGAACCUGGACUUGAAUUCCACUAAGAUCAUUAUGUGGCUCAAAGUAAACUUUUGAUAACUCUUUAGUGAGUGACUUUGGUCUUAGGCCAUGCUUAGAUGCACUAUAUAAAACAUAUUAUUACUGUCGGCAAUGUAAUUUUGAACCAGGUGUAUGUUUUUAUCUUUCUGUUUUAUAUAAAUGUUGGGAACCAGCAUGAUGAAAGCAUUUCUCCCGGUCAAAUAAUCAAGAUUUGA